CAGCACACAUACUAAAAUUUGAACAGUGAGAAGAUUAGCAUGACCCUUGCACAAGGAUGACCCACAAA
rnacentral:snRNA from 1 species